rnacentral:tRNA from 1 species
GCUCCGAUAGCACAGUGGUAGUGCAAUUCCUUGGUAAGGAAGAGGUCGGCAGUCCGAUUCUGUCUCGGAGCACCA